rnacentral:tRNA from 1 species
UCCCAGGUGGCUCAGUGGUAAUGAAUCUGCUUGCAAUGCAGAAGUCUCAGGAGAUACAGGUUUGAUCCCUGUGUUGGGAA